rnacentral:rRNA from 1 species
GAUGAACGCUGGCGGCGUGCUUAACACAUGCAAGUCGAACGAUGAAGCCCAGCUUGCUGGGUGGUUUAGUGGCGAACGGGUGAGUAACACGUGAGUAACCUGCCUUUGACUCUGUGCUAAGCCUGGGAGACUGGGUCUAAUUCUUGCUAUGUCUUCUUAUCGUAUGUUGUGGGGUUGGAAGAUUUAUCGGUUUUGGAUGGACUCGCGGCCUAUCAGCUUGUUUGUGCGGUAAUGGCUAACCAAGGCGACGAGGGGUAGCCGGCGCUAGAGGGUGUCCGGCGACACUGCGACUAAGACACGCCCCAGACUCGUAUGGGCGGCAGCAGUGGGGAACAUUGCACAAUGAGCGCAAGUCUGACGCAGCGACCCCGCGUGUGGGAGGACGGCCUUCGAGUUGUAAACCUCUUUCAGAAGAGAUGGAGCGAGAGUGACGGUACCUGCAAAAGAAGCGCCGGCUAACUACGUG